GUGAUUGCUUCAGCAGCACAUCUACUAAAAUUGGAACAACAAAGAGAAGAUUAGCAUGGCUCCUGUACAAGGAUAACACACAAAUUCUUGAGGCGUUUCAUAUUUUU
ensembl:snRNA U6 U6 spliceosomal RNA